rnacentral:tRNA from 1 species
GCGGGCGUGGCGGAAUGGUAGACGCAAGAGACUUAAAAUCUCUGGGGCGAGAGCCCGUGCCGGUUCAAGUCCGGCCGCCCGCACCA